GCAAUGCCAGAGCAGGCUGUGGCCGCGAGCCGUUGCUGGCUUCCGCCGAUGGGCUGCAGGCACCGAAGCAGGUUGCACAGUA
rnacentral:snoRNA from 1 species